rnacentral:rRNA from 1 species
GGGAGCUUGCUCCCUGAUGUUAGCGGCGGACGGGUGAGUAACACGUGGGUAACCUGCCUGUAAGACUGGGAUAACUCCGGGAAACCGGGGCUAAUACCGGAUGCUUGUUUGAACCGCAUGGUUCAAACAUAAAAGGUGGCUUCGGCUACCACUUACAGAUGGACCCGCGGCGCAUUAGCUAGUUGGUGAGGUAACGGCUCACCAAGGCAACGAUGCGUAGCCGACCUGAGAGGGUGAUCGGCCACACUGGGACUGAGACACGGCCCAGACUCCUACGGGAGGCAGCAGUAGGGAAUCUUCCGCAAUGGACGAAAGUCUGACGGAGCAACGCCGCGUGAGUGAUGAAGGUUUUCGGAUCGUAAAGCUCUGUUGUUAGGGAAGAACAAGUACCGUUCGAAUAGGGCGGUACCUUGACGGUACCUAACCAGAAAGCCACGGCUAACUACGUGCCAGCAGCCGCGGUAAUACGUAGGUGGCAAGCGUUGUCCGGAAUUAUUGGGCGUAAAGGGCUCGCAGGCGGUUUCUUAAGUCUGAUGUGAAAGCCCCCGGCUCAACCGGGGAGGGUCAUUGGAAACUGGGGAACUUGAGUGCAGAAGAGGAGAGUGGAAUUCCACGUGUAGCGGUGAAAUGCGUAGAGAUGUGGAGGAACACCAGUGGCGAAGGCGACUCUCUGGUCUGUAACUGACGCUGAGGAGCGAAAGCGUGGGGAGCGAACAGGAUUAGAUACCCUGGUAGUCCACGCCGUAAACGAUGAGUGCUAAGUGUUAGGGGGUUUCCGCCCCUUAGUGCUGCAGCUAACGCAUUAAGCACUCCGCCUGGGGAGUACGGUCGCAAGACUGAAACUCAAAGGAAUUGACGGGGGCCCGCACAAGCGGUGGAGCAUGUGGUUUAAUUCGAAGCAACGCGAAGAACCUUACCAGGUCUUGACAUCCUCUGACAAUCCUAGAGAUAGGACGUCCCCUUCGGGGGCAGAGUGACAGGUGGUGCAUGGUUGUCGUCAGCUCGUGUCGUGAGAUGUUGGGUUAAGUCCCGCAACGAGCGCAACCCUUGAUCUUAGUUGCCAGCAUUCAGUUGGGCACUCUAAGGUGACUGCCGGUGACAAACCGGAGGAAGGUGGGGAUGACGUCAAAUCAUCAUGCCCCUUAUGACCUGGGCUACACACGUGCUACAAUGGACAGAACAAAGGGCAGCGAAACCGCGAGGUUAAGCCAAUCCCACAAAUCUGUUCUCAGUUCGGAUCGCAGUCUGCA